CCUACGGGCGGCUGCAGUGGGGAAUUUUGGACAAUGGGCGCAAGCCUGAUCCAGCAAUGCCGCGUGCAGGAUGAAGGCCUUCGGGUUGUAAACUGCUUUUGUACGGAACGAAACGGUCUGCCCUAAUACGGUGGGCUAAUGACGGUACCGUAAGAAUAAGCACCGGCUAACUACGUGCCAGCAGCCGCGGUAAUACGUAGGGUGCGAGCGUUAGUCGGAAUUACGGGGCGUAAAAUAUGAGAAGGCGGUGAAAUCCCCGGGCUUAACCUGGGACCUGCAUUUGUGACUGUAUAGCUAGAGUACGGCAGAGGGGGAUGGAAUUCCGCGUGUAGCAGUGAAAUGCGUAGAUAUGCGGAGGAACACCGAUGGCGAAGGCAAUCCCCUGGGCCUGUACUGACGCUCAUGCACGAAAGCGUGGGGAGCAAACAGGAUUAGAUACCCGAGUAGUC
rnacentral:rRNA from 1 species